UACGAACUGUGCGAACGUUAUUCGGAAUCACUGGGCUUACAGGGUGCGUAGGCGGCUUGUUAAGUAGGGUGUGAAAGCCCCCGGCUCAACCGGGGAAUUGCGCCCUAAACUGGCGAGCUGGAGUGCGAUAGGGGUGUGUGGAACUUCCGGUGGAGCGGUGAAAUGUGUUGAUAUCGGAAGGAACGCCGGUGGCGAAAGCGACACACUGGAUCUUGUCUGACGCUGAGGCACGAAAGCCAGGGGAGCGAACGGG
rnacentral:rRNA from 1 species